UAUUUGUCUUUAUAUCAGACUUUAACAACAUUCAUUGUUUUUAUAGAAAUUAAAUUAUAUUUGCAGUAAGCCCGAGAAACACAACUUUCACAGUUCUACUGUAUCGUGUCAGCAUGUACACUUUUCGCUGUAAAAAAUAAAAUCGUCCGAACAAGCAAAACAACAGUACACGACUUUAGAGACUUCAGAGACUGUUUUUAUGUUAGCAAUUGUCCCUUCUGAUGUGCCGUCCCGUCCCGUUUCCAAAGCAACAAAGAACGCAAUAACUUCUGGGUCACAGACCAAACACUAGAGUUUCGUUUACUAAUACUACAUAUAGUAUAAUUAUAUAUAGGCUGCAUUUUUAUAAUACUUGAACAGCAAUACAUUUCAGGUGAUGAAUGGAAUACUUUUGCAGCUGAUGUCAUUAGCACGUUCCACAAAACACGGCCUUAAACUAAAAAACCGUAGGGCUAACGUUAGUAUUCAACAGAUGGUCAGUUAAAAAGCAGGGGAUUAUUGGUGACUCCAUGGCUGCUGUGCAGUAUUUUAUUGAGAGGUUCUCUGUGCCUUGCAACAAGCCAAUGUCCCACCUGCAGCUGGCCUGCUGUUCAUCUCACUGCGCAGUCCCAUGGCAGGACAACAGUAUCAGGAUUUACGAAAACAACAAUCUGGAGCCUCCCUUGGAACUCACUGGUCACCAUGGCGAUGUGUCUGCCAUGGUAAUUGGGACGGUGAGAGAUCGUCUCGUCCUCUGCAGUGCUUCUGAAGAUUAUGUUAUCGUCUGGGACAUUGAUCGCUGCUACAGACGGAUCAGAGAAGGUGUAAGUGCCUCAGGUACAGUUGUUGGCACAUUGCUUGGCAAGGUGGAGCAUCUGUCACUGUGUUCACUGAGUGCAAGAUUGGCCGCAUGCUCAGGCUCCAGAGUGUUUCUGUUGAAUGCAGAGAGAGAGGAUGUGCUUGGAGUUUUGAAAGCUCAUCUUGGUCCUGUGACUGCCUCAGAGUUCUGUCCAUGGGACGUUAAUCUUCUCAUCUCAAUCUCAGAAGACAGAACAUUUAAGAUUUGGGAUGUGAAGAAGGGAGAUAUACUCUUUGAAUCUGCUGUCCUGUCAGCGUAUCCACUGCUUAGUCUGUUCUUCGUGGAGCAAAGCAGUCAGUUCAUCACAGGGUCUGGUGAUGGACAGCUUUGGUGUUACACUCUCCCUGUGGACCACAAAUGCCGCUUGGUGACAAAACUGGACCUUUCGAAGCUCGAACAGAAGUAUGAGAGAAACCACAGAAAAUCCAGCUCACCUCAAAAUAGUCCAGAUGGAAUGAUUGGUAAUGAAGUGAGAGGAACAGUGGAGACAACAAAGCCUGUUCUGAAAAUCUGGGCCCAGAAACUGCUCUCCAGUCAUGCUAGCCUCCAGCAGAGAACAAGUUGUGUGUGGAUCGGAAGUUCUGAUGGGCUGUAUCUGCUUGACCUGGAUACUUCAGAGCUUCUCAUGAUUCUUCCACUCAAAGGCAUCAUAAGUGACCUAAGCAUCUCAAUGGCAGGAUCAUGGGCCGUCACUAAUGGACUUGGUGGCAAUAUGUGCUGUUUGGUGACUUCUCUAUUUGGGACUUCAGUAACCCUUUUAGAGGUUAAUAGUGCCGGGCUGGACGAGCUCUGUUUUAGGAUGGCAAUGGGCUUCUCUGUGGAUGAGCAACUUUCAGUUGUGCCCAGCUCUCCUCUGAUGACUAUGUCCCCUCUGAAUGCUGAGCUGGCAAAACAUGGCCGAAAACCUCAGAAAAAAAUAGGUGUGAGCUGUCAGAAGAGUGUAAAGGAUCAGGCUUUGGUUUUUCACACGCAAGUGAAGUCAUCAGGAUACAAUACAGCUCCUCAUAGGACAAUGUUUAGACCAAAGACCAGUGUUAAGAAGAAAAGCAACUCUGCCUCAGCAACUAGCACAAAUACGAAAGACCUCUUAAGUGAGUAUCCAUCCCAUUUGGAAGCACCGAGUAUGCCUUACGCUCAUUUAACAGUUUCCACAACUCCAACCCCAGUCAGCUCUCUACAGUUCUCAGGAAAUGGAAAGCAGAUUGCGUGUGGUCUUGGAGAUGGUUCUGUUUUGUUGUAUAACUCUUCACUCACCAGUAACCCAGCUGUCUACACAGGUCACAGUAAGGCUGUGAACACUGUAUGCUGGAGUCACAGUAAGCAGUGGUUUUUAAGUACUUCUGAGGACCCCACCCUUUGCAUCUGGACCCCGAAUGCUUCAGAACCUGUUUUAACCAUGGGAGAUGACCAGUUUGCAAAGCCCAUCAGAAGUGCUCAAUUUUAUUACCUGGACAAGUUUUUACUGUUGGCGUCGGGAUCAAAUCUAAUGCUGUACCUUUACCAUCUGGACACCACAAGAGAUGACAUCAAGAGGUAUAAGCAAAGAAGCAAGUGCAAAUUGACCAGUAAAUUCAACAUGAAGUCAGGAACCGACAUCACUUCAAUGUCGGCCAUCAAUGACUUCUACUCCUAUAUCGUCUUGGCUGCUGGCGCUGACCGCACCAUCCAGGUGUUUGAUAUGAACCAGGGCUGUAUGGCCACUCAGAUCCCUGAUGCCCACUGUCGAGCUGUCCACCUCCUCAGCCAGAACAAGGGAUCCGCGUUCUGUACACAGGCCUUGGAAUCGUACAAUCUCUUUCUGAGCAGCGCUAUAACAGAUGGUCUGAAGUUGUGGGACCUGCGCACUGCAAGGUGUGUUCGCCGUUAUGAGAGCCAUGUUAACCGCUGUCACCAUUGCACUGCGGCCUUCUCACCCUGCGGUCGCUUCGUAGCUACUGGCUCAGAGGACCAUUCUGCCUAUAUAUUUGACACACGCAGCAGCAGCUUUCUUCAUAAACUCCCGAGACACUCUGAAACUGUCCUGAAUGUGGCUUUCAACCCUGCUAAUCCAGAGCUGUUGACUGGAACACUCGAUGGAAAGCUGGCUUUGUUUCAUCCGGCCGAAUCUCUUCUCCCUUAAGUGUGGAAUCUGCCCCAAUGGCUCAGUUCUUGACCCAAGUUCACCGAUGCUGCAGACAAAUGAAAUCAGUCACGUUGAGAUUACUCUGCUGGCGUGCCACCUCUGAGACCGACAUCAUGGACGGGAUCUGUGAUAUCAUCAUUUAAGCCACCAUUGACAACCUACAGAUGUGACAACAUGCUCACGCCCUCGAUUGCCAAGCCAAAGACGCACCCUCAGAGAAAAGUCCAUUUGAACAACAGAGUGACUCCUUUUAUGUAAAAUCUGCAUAUACUAUGCACCGGUGAUUUCAGACCCAAAAUAAUUCAUUUUAAUGGAUGGAUGAAAGGAGAUCAUUUUUAGGUAAGUUUAUGUUUUAGGUUUGGUUUUGCAUAAAUUAAAUGCUGUACACCAGAGCCACUUUGGCAUUCUCAUUAUCUUUCAGUCUCACCAGAAUCAAUAGUUGUGUUAAGGUGGCAAUAAAUUGCAGAAUGCAUGCAAGAAAGACAAGAUUCAGAAGCCUGAAGUGAUAGAGAAGAAUGCUGAGUCUUUAAUGAUGGGUGGUGUCCACUACAACUGCUGGCAGCAUUUCUGCGCCAAUUACUUUUCUGAGGUCAUUCUGCGCUCUGCCCAUUUAGCAACUAUCCCAUAGAGGGUUAUCUUUAGCAAAGCAUGUUUUGCAAUGGUUUAUAUUGACUCUCCUGACUGUUAAUGUUAUACCUUAAUAUUUAACUGUAUUGAUGUACAGCAAAUAAUAAGUUUGCAUUUAAAAAAAAAAACUAAAUAUGAAUAAUAUUUUAAUGCUGGAUUAUAUGUUUCCUAUGUAUGUGAGAAUUUACUGUGGGUUACAUUUUUUUCUAUUUUGAAAGUAUAUGAAAUACCAAGAUAAAACUAAAGAAAAGUACUUUUUUUUUUAGUUUUAUUUGGACAUAAGUUCUAAGUGUGAAUGGAAACAAUUCAGCAGUUUUGGUUCAUUGUCAUUGGUCACGUUUGAGCUCUACUUUUGAAUUAAAGAAAAAUAAUAAUGCUUCAACUUCUCUCUUAUACAAUAAUUGGGGUUGGCUGCUCUUUCUAAACAAAGAAGCUGUGCACUUCUAAUGGUUAACAGAGAGAUGUCAAAUAUGGAUGCACAUAACUACUGAAUUGGCCAUAAUGUUCUUAACCCCAUCCCUAGCACAGCCAGUUUAACCUAUUACUAUUAUUAAAAAUUAAAACAACGUAAUAAAUAAAUAUAUCAGUUAUUGCUACAUAGUCAGUUUUUCAACACCUCUGUUUUCAAGUCAUUUAGAUGCUCAUGGAAAACAAACUUUGGUUAU